ACGCUGGCGGCAUGCCUUACACAUGCAAGUCGAACGGUAACAGGUCUUCGGAUGCUGACGAGUGGCGAACGGGUGAGUAAUACAUCGGAACGUGCCCAGUAAUGGGGGAUAGCUCGGCGAAAGCCGGAUUAAUACCGCAUACGCCCUGAGGGGGAAAGUGGGGGAUCGCAAGACCUCACGUUAUUGGAGCGGCCGAUGGCUGAUUAGCUAGUUGGUAGGGUAAAGGCCUACCAAGGCGACGAUCAGUAGCUGGUCUGAGAGGACGAUCAGCCACACUGGGACUGAGACACGGCCCAGACUCCUACGGGAGGCAGCAGUGGGGAAUUUUGGACAAUGGGGGAAACCCUGAUCCAGCAAUGCCGCGUGUGCGAAGAAGGCCUUCGGGUUGUAAAGCACUUUUGUCAGGGAAGAAAUCCUUUGGGCUAAUACCCUAGGGGGAUGACGGUACCUGAAGAAUAAGCACCGGCUAACUACGUGCCAGCAGCCGCGGUAAUACGUAGGGUGCAAGCGUUAAUCGGAAUUACUGGACGUAAAGCGUGCGCAGGCGGUUGUGUAAGACAGGUGUGAAAUCCCCGGGCUUAACCUGGGAAUUGCUUUUGUGACUGCACGACUAGAGUGUGUCAGAGGGGGGUGGAAUUCCACGUGUAGCAGUGAAAUGCGUAGAUAUGUGGAGGAACACCAAUGGCGAAGGCAGCCCCCUGGGAUAACACUGACGCUCAUGCACGAAAGCGUGGGGAGCAAACAGGAUUAGAUACCCUGGUAGUCCACGCCCUAAACGAUGUCAACUAGUUGUUGGGGAUUUACUUCCUUGGUAACGUAGCUAACGCGUGAAGUUGACCGCCUGGGGAGUACGGCCGCAAGGUUAAAACUCAAAGGAAUUGACGGGGACCCGCACAAGCGGUGGAUGAUGUGGAUUAAUUCGAUGCAACGCGAAAAACCUUACCUACCCUUGACAUGGCAGGAACUUUCCAGAGAUGGAUUGGUGCUCGAAAGAGAACCUGCACACAGGUGCUGCAUGGCUGUCGUCAGCUCGUGUCGUGAGAUGUUGGGUUAAGUCCCGCAACGAGCGCAACCCUUGUCAUUAGUUGCUACGAAAGGGCACUCUAAUGAGACUGCCGGUGACAAACCGGAGGAAGGUGGGGAUGACGUCAAGUCCUCAUGGCCCUUAUGGGUAGGGCUUCACACGUCAUACAAUGGUCGGUACAGAGGGUUGCCAAGCCGCGAGGUGGAGCCAAUCCCAGAAAACCGAUCGUAGUCCGGAUCGCAGUCUGCAACUCGACUGCGUGAAGUCGGAAUCGCUAGUAAUCGCGGAUCAGAAUGCCGUGGUGAAUACGUUCCCGGGUCUUGUACACACCGCCCGUCACACCAUGGGAGUGGGUUCUACCAGAAGUGGCUAGUCUAACCGCAAGGAGGACGGUCACCACGGUAGGAUUCAUA
rnacentral:rRNA from 1 species